CAACAAAUACACUUUAAAAUUGUAAUUUUUUCUUAUUAUAUAGGACCGAAUUAUUCUACAGAAAAUCUCUUGGAAUUUUACAUUAUAAAGUGAUCACAAAAUUUUCUACUCUUCUUUGCAAAUGCAAAAACUAUGAGUAAAUUUCUCAAAUUGGUUUAUGCUAUAACUCUUCUUCAUUUCCUCUUUUUUGUUGUAACAAAUGGCCUUCGCUGUUAUUAUCCUCAAGUUAUGUGUUGCGAUCCGUAUGGGUGUUUCUGCAAUAUACCCAUGAGUCCCUUUUAAGGUUAAAAAUAAUGAUUUGUGCGUCGCACUUCUCUUUGAAAAGUUGAAAGCAUGCUAAUUGUAUUAUGCAUUUUUAUCCUUUAUUUGCUUUUAGAAUAAAAUGAAAACAUCGAAUAUCACUUCAUAAUUGCAAUUAGCUAUUGCAUUAAAAUAAUAACGGAGUUUUAAUAUUUAUAUAUAGAGUGUAAUGAAAUUGAAAUUUGUAAAAGA